AUACCUCAGCAGCACAUGUAUUAAAUUUGAACAAUACAGAGAAUAUUAGGAUGGCCCCUGAGCAAGGAUGGCAUGAAGGGCAGUGAGACAGGACUGGGAUAC